AUGCACGCUGGCGGCGUGCCUCAUACCUGCAAGUCGCGCGCACAGACGAGGAGCUUGCUCCUCUGACGUUAGCGGCGGACGGGUGAGUAACACGUGGAUAACCUACCUAUAAGACUGGGAUAACUUCGGGAAACCGGAGCUAAUACCGGAUAAUAUAUUGAACCGCAUGGUUCAAUAGUGAAAGACGGUCUUGCUGUCACUUAUAGAUGGAUCCGCGCCGCAUUAGCUAGUUGGUAAGGUAACGGCUUACCAAGGCGACGAUGCGUAGCCGACCUGAGAGGGUGAUCGGCCACACUGGAACUGAGACACGGUCCAGACUCCUACGGGAGGCAGCAGUAGGGAAUCUUCCGCAAUGGGCGAAAGCCUGACGGAGCAACGCCGCGUGAGUGAUGAAGGUCUUCGGAUCGUAAAACUCUGUUAUUAGGGAAGAACAAAUGUGUAAGUAACUAUGCACGUCUUGACGGUACCUAAUCAGAAAGCCACGGCUAACUACGUG
rnacentral:rRNA from 1 species